rnacentral:piRNA from 1 species
UGCCGUUUUCGAAACAAGAAACCUAGCA